UGAGGAAAUAGUUAUGCCGGAGUACAGGUGGUGCAUGGUUGUCGUCAGCUCGUGUCGUGAGAUGUUGGGUUAAGUCCCGCAACGAGCGCAACCCUUGUCUUCAGUUACCAUCAUUCAGUUGGGGGACUCUGGAGAGACUGCCGGUGACAAACCGGAGGAAGGUGGGGAUGACGUCAAAUCAUCAUGCCCCUUAUGACCUGGGCUACACACGUACUACAAUGGCGUAUACAACGGGAAGCGAAAUGGUGACAUGGAGCAAAUCUCACAAAGUACGUCUCAGUUCGGAUUGAAGUCUGCAACUCGACUUCAUGAAGUCGGAAUCGCUAGUAAUCGCGGAUCAGCAUGCCGCGGUGAAUACGUUCUCGGGCCUU
rnacentral:rRNA from 1 species